CAGUAGCCACGGUAAUACAGAGGGUGCAAGCGUUGUUCGGAAUUAUUGGGCGUAAAGCGUGCGUAGGUGGUGGUUUAAGUCCGUUGUGAAAGCCCUGGGCUCAACCUGGGAAUGGCAGUGGAUACUGGCUCGCUAGAGUGUGUCAGAGGAUGGUGGAAUUCCCGGUGUAGCGGUGAAAUGCGUAGAGAUCGGGAGGAACAUCAGUGGCGAAGGCGGCCAUCUGGGACAACACUGACGCUGAGGCACGAAAGCGUGGGGAGCAAACAGGAUUAGAUACCCCGGUAGUCCCUGUCUCUUAUAC
rnacentral:rRNA from 1 species